AGUGAACGCUGGCGGCAGGCCUAACACAUGCAAGUCGAGCGGCAGCGCGUCCGACCACCCUCGGGUGGUCGGAUGGCGGCGAGCGGCGGACGGGUGAGGAAUGCAUCGGAAUCUGCCUCGUUGUGGGGGAUAACGUAGGGAAACUUACGCUAAUACCGCAUACGACCUACGGGUGAAAGUGGGGGACCUUCGGGCCUCACGCGAUGAGAUGAGCCGAUGCCGGAUUAGCUAGUUGGCGGGGUAAAGGCCCACCAAGGCGACGAUCCGUAGCUGGUCUGAGAGGAUGAUCAGCCACACUGGAACUGAGACACGGUCCAGACUCCUACGGGAGGCAGCAGUGGGGAAUAUUGGACAAUGGGGGCAACCCUGAUCGUGCGACGCCGCGUGCAGGACGAAGGUCUUCGGAUCGUAAACUGCUUUCGCAAGGGUAGAAAGGCGAACUGAUUAAGAGUUGGUUUGUCAGACGGUACCUUGUAAAGAAGCUCCGGCUAAGUCCGUGCCAG
rnacentral:rRNA from 1 species